rnacentral:rRNA from 1 species
CCGGCGCACGGGUGAGUAACACGUAUCCAACCUGCCGUCUACUCUUGGCCAGCCUUCUGAAAGGAAGAUUAAUCCAGGAUGGGAUCAUGAGUUCACAUGUCCGCAUGAUUAAAGGUAUUUUCCGGUAGACGAUGGGGAUGCGUUCCAUUAGAUAGUAGGCGGGGUAACGGCCCACCUAGUCGACGAUGGAUAGGGGUUCUGAGAGGAAGGUCCCCCACAUUGGAACUGAGACACGGUCCAA